GACGAACGCUGGCGGCGUGCUUAACACAUGCAAGUCGAACGAAGUGGCGAACGGGUGAGUAACGCGUAAUCAACCUGCCCUUCAGAGGGGGACAACAGUGGGAAACGACUGCUAAUACCGCAUAAGGAAGGAGGGGAUGGCGUCUGAUUGGCUAGUUGGAGGGGUAACGGCCCACCAAGGCGAUGAUCAGUAGCCGGGCUGAGAGGAGGAACUGCCACAUUUGGACUGAGACACGGCCCAGACUCCUACGGGAGGCAGCAGUGGGGAAUCUUCCGCAAUGGACGAAAGGCUGACGGAGCAACGCCGCGUGAGUGAUGACGGCCUUCGGGUUGUAAAGCUCUGUUAAUCGGGACGCGGUACCGGAAUAGAAAGCCACGGCUAACUACGUGCCAGCAGCCGCGGUAAUUC
rnacentral:rRNA from 1 species